AGCAGCCGCGGUAAUUCCAGCUCCAAUAGCGUAUAUUAAAGUUGCUGCAGUUAAAAGCUCGUAGUUGAAUUUCGGGACUAAUAUGUCGGUCGUGCCUCGGUACGUACUGGUUUAUUGGUUUCUCCUUUCUGAAGAACCAUGAUGUCAUUUAUUUGGUGUCGUGGGGAAUCAGGACUGUUACUUUGGAAAAAUUAGAGUGUUUAAAGCAGGCUCACGCUUGAAUACAUUAGCAUGGAAUAAUGAAAUAGGACGUUUGAUUCUAUUUUGUUGGUUUCUAGGAUCGACGUAAUGAUUAAUAGGGAUAGUUGGGGGCAUUAGUAUUCAAUUGUCAGAGGUGAAAUUCUUGGAUUUAUUGAAGACUAACUACUGCGAAAGCAUUUGCCAAGGAUGUUUUCAUUAAUCAAGAACGAAAGUUAGGGAUCGAAGACGAUCAGAUACCGUCGUAGUCUUAACCAUAAACUAUGCCGACUAGGGAUCGGAUGAUGUUAAUUUUUAAUGUACUCA
rnacentral:misc_RNA from 1 species